CCUCUCCCACAACCUGACUCCAUACCACGUUCUGGCCCAUUUUCUGACUCCCUCACAAGGCUGGGGCUUCCAUGGACACAAGGGCUGUGUCCCCCAGCCCCACAUAGGGCUGGUCACAUGGGGGGUUCAUGUUGAGUGAACAAGAGAAGGAAUGGAGCGGCUGUGCAGAACUUUGGAAGACGUGUGGGUGGAAUGGGACUCAAUGAAAGAGGAAGAGGCGGAAGGAGGCGAGGCCCCCUCCUCCUCUGCCCCCCACGGACCCCUCAUCCUGAGUGGCUGGGCCCCAGCAAGUGAGCGGCAGACCAGCAGCGUCCUGACUGCUGGGAGCGAUGACUCAGCUGCCAUCUGUUACUUAAUGAGAAGAUGGCAAGCCAAUUGGCGUGCUCCCCCGCUCUCUUUAAUAUGGCACAUCGAAAAAUGUGACUUUAGUGAUCUAUCUUUUAAUGAUUCUGACUUGCUCACUCUUACUUCUUUUAAUUCAGCAGCAAAUAAGCCUGUGAUUUGCCCAGGAAUCCCAACAGGGGAUUCUUUUGAUUUUAUGUUGGGGGUUUGGGUCUUUUUUUAGGGGACAGGAAGGCUUUGCCAGGGUUACACCUUCCUCACUCUGCCAUCAGAAGGAGCCCGUUCCAUCCCAGGGUUUGUUCUUUGAAUCACAACGAAAUGGGACCCAGGAAAGUCCCACAACCCAGCUCACUUCAGAGAGGACAAUCUACAGGCGACAAGCUGGCCUUGCAGUGUGAAGCCGAGGCCACACCGUCAGGGAAGGUGGGGAGACCAGGGUCCCAGGCUGCACCUGAGCCUGCACGACCUGGGGAAGGCCUCUCCCCUUCUCCAGCCUCCAGUUCUCUGGCUGGAGAAGGGAACGGGCCUGGCUGAUCCCAGGGUCCUGAGGUUUGAUGCUGAGUGUAGGAGAGUUCUUCUGGGCAGGUUUUCUAGUGUUUGGAUGGGCACCUGCCUCCUUUGGGAACUAGGCAAUGUUUAAGAGUGGACCCUGCCUCCACCUCAUGUGUCUUAUAUGGCCUUGGGCAAGUCCCUGGGUUCAAGUCUGUAAAUUGGGAAGGGCGAUGGUGCCCACCUACCUGGCAAAGCCCUGGGGAAUGAACACAUCCAUCCGCACAGGUGCUUGGCCCACUGACAGGGAAAAGGAGGCACCCUGAGACAUCGGCUGCAGGCUAUGACCACCCGCUCUUCUCGGUGAGCAGAGCCCAGCAGAAGGACAUCUGGCCAAGAAGUGGUGGCCGUGUGCACAACUCAGCCAGAGGAGGGGGCACAGCCCUGUCACCAGGAACAUCCCCUCACCUCCCUAGGCACUGGCCUGACUUUGGCCUGGCCUCUCCUGUGACCCCAGGAUUUGGAGAAAAGUCUCAGGGAAGGGCUGACUGACUACCUGGGCUAGAUCCUCACCCCUGGACCAGUCAGCUGUGGUCAGAAGGCAGAUUGUCCAAGAACAGUCUGUUCCCAGGGAUCGUCUAGCCCCAGGGUUUUCUGGCCAUAGCUUCAAGCUCAGGAGGCCACAGCCUGUAGCAAAAACAAGGGUUUGGGAGCACAACAAACCAGGGUUUGAGUCUGUUUCUCGGCUUGGGAUGGAGACAUCUUUGAGACUCAGUUUCCCCAUCUGUUCAGCUGGCAAGCCCACUCACCGCUGGCAUGAGGAAUUAAUGAAAUAAUGAGGGGCUAGGCCAUGGCGAAAAAUCAGGGGCUCACCGUGUCUCCAAAAGGGCUGACCGGCUUUUCCUUGCUCUUGACAAAUGUGGCCCCUGAGCGUCCAGGUGCGGUGCCCCUCCACUCCCAGCACGGAGUCCCCCUCUACCUUCAAGCUGGCCACCAGCGCCUCCCUCCCCUGUCUGGACAGAGGGCCCGUGGGGGUGCUGAGAUCUGGCCACGUGCUCUGCCUCAGUCCAAAAGCCACACUCACGUGACCAUCGACAGUGGAUUGAUGAAAUUAAGCACAGAUGGCUACUUUGUUGUUGUUCUUUGAACUGACAGCUGCUGGUAUAAAAAUAAAUUAAAUUAAAUUUCACAGAAGUCAGACUUUUUUUUGUAUUUUUUUUUAAAAAUGAUCUAAGUUUUUCUGUGUUGUUGUCGUUAAAUUGUUUUCUUUCUUUUUAACAUACGGAGGCAGAGAAAACUCCAGGGCAGCAGAAACAAGAAUUGCAAGGAGAAGCUCCAGUGCGACCCCAGGAUUUGGAGACAACCCCAUCCAACCCUCCCAUAGCCCACAGCCCUCAGAGCUCCGGAAGGCCACGGAGCUGCCAGGUUCCAAUCUUGACUUCUUUGUCUUUCAAGCUAAGGGCCAGGAUGUCAAAACAGUCCUGGGUUUGCAGCCAGGUUUGGACACCCACUCACCCUGCGACCUUGGGCAAGUCAUUUUCUUCCUCUGCACCUCAUUUUCCUCGCCCGUAAAAAGGGGAUAAUAACAGCGCCUCCCUGAGGACAGUCAUCGUGCCUGGCACCUAAGCACUCAGCUGCAGUUCUUGGCUUAUUAUUAUUGGCUGCAUGACCUUGAGUAAAUAGAGAAUCUUUACUCAGUGAAAGGAUUCUGAGAGAAGUCUCCAGCCCGCCUGUCUCACAGCAGGCUCUGGAAUCUCAGUGCCCCCAUAGCUGGUCUCACCCACCCUCUCCACCCACCUCCCUUCCCUCUUCACACCCUGGGCCCCUGGCCGGCGCUAGGCACAGCCAUUUGCACACAGAGAAGAAAUAGGAGGCUUGGUGGUCUGGGAGCCCGGAGCAGACAUCUAUUCUCUGCCCAGCCCUCCCUCCCAUGUGCCCAGAAACUCCCUUCCCCUUCCCCAUGGUUAAGCCAGGUGCAGCCUGUUCUUGGACAACCUGCCUUCUGGCCACAGCUUACUGGUCCAUAGGUGAGCAUCUAACCUAGGUAGCCAAUCACCCUGUCCCUGAGAUGUUGCUAAUGAGAACUGAGAAAGAGAGAGAGCCACCUUGCAUGGAGUGGCAAGCUACAAACCUUCGGAGCUGCCCGUGGCAUAUUUCCUGCCAUGUGGAAGAAGGUGGUCUGGAGAGAGAGUGAGGCUGGCCAAGAGAAGGACAGAGAUGAGAGAGGAGGGACGGGCCCCGGUUUCACUCCUUCCUGCAUCCUUCCUGAGUCCUCGCCCUUCCCGCAACUCAGGGGCUCUGCUCAGCCAUGGGCCUCUCUUUCUGCCUCCGUGGCUCCAGUCAGGCUGUCGUCACUGUGACCAAAUUGCUCUACUUGUCCCUCGCUAGCCAGUGGAGGGGGACAGCAGGGCAGGGCUGCAGAUUAAGAAUGGAGGACUCUCCAAAAAGGGAGAGGCCAGUUCUUUUUUUUUUUUUUUUUUUUUUUUUUUUUUUUUUUGAGACAGAGUUUCGCUCUUGUUGCCCAGGCUGGAGUGCAAUGGCGCGAUCUCGGCUCACCACAACCGCUGCCUCCCGUGUUCAA
rnacentral:lncRNA from 1 species